rnacentral:rRNA from 1 species
AUUGAACGCUGGCGGCAGGCCUAACACAUGCAAGUCGAGCGAGCGGCGGACGGGUGAGUAAUGUAUGGGGACUGCCCGAUAGAGGGGGAUAACUACUGGACAAGGUGGCUAAUACCGCAUACUAUCGGAUAACCCAUAGUGGAUUAGCUAGUAGGUGGGGUAAAGGCUCACAUAGGCGACGAUCUCUAGAUGGUCUGAGAGGAUGUUCAGCCACACUGGGAUGGAGAAACUGCCCAGAAUCCUACGGUGGCAGCAGUGGGGAAUAGUGCACAAGGGGGGCAAGCCUGAUGCAGCCAUGCCGCGUGUAUGAAGAAGGCCUUAGGGUUGUAAAGUACUUUCAGCGGGGAGGCGUUACCCGCAGAAGAAGCACCGGCUAACUCCGUGCCAGCAGCCGCAAUAAUAC